rnacentral:rRNA from 1 species
UACAGAGGGUGCGAGCGUUGUCCGGAAUCACUGGGCGUAAAGGGCGCGUAGGUGGCGGCCCAAGUCCGUGGUGAAAGCUCGAUGCUCAACAUCGAGUCGGCCACGGAUACUGGGUUGCUCGAGCACUGUAGGGGCAGAUGGAAUUCCGGGUGUAGCGGUGAAAUGCGCAGAUAUCAGGAGGAACACCAAUGGCGAAGGCAGCACUCUGGGACGUGACUGACGCUGAGACGCGAAAGCGUGGGGAGCAAACAGGAUUAGAA